GGGUUGUGAGGUUAAGCGACUAAGCGUACACGGUGGAUGCCCUGGCAGUCAGAGGCGAUGAAGGACGUGCUAAUCUGCGAAAAGCGCCGGCGAGGUGAUAUGAACCCUUGACCCGGCGAUGUCCGAAUGGGGAAACCCAGUGCAAUUCGUUGCACUAUCGUUAACUGAAUACAUAGGUUAACGAGGCGAACCGGGGGAACUGAAACAUCUAAGUACCCCGAGGAAAAGAAAUCAACCGAGAUUCCCCCAGUAGCGGCGAGCGAACGGGGAGCAGCCCAGAGUCUGAAUCAGCUUGUGUGUUAGUGGAAGCGUCUGGAAAGUCGCACGGUACAGGGUGACAGUCCCGUACACGAAAAUGCACAGGCUGUGAACUCGAAGAGUAGGGCGGGACACGUGGUAUCCUGUCUGAAUAUGGGGGGACCAUCCUCCAAGGCUAAAUACUCCUGACUGACCGAUAGUGAACCAGUACCGUGAGGGAAAGGCGAAAAGAACCCCGGCGAGGGGAGUGAAAAAGAACCUGAAACCGUGUACGUACAAGCAGUGGGAGCACCUUCGGGUGUGACUGCGUACCUUUUGUAUAAUGGGUCAGCGACUUAUAUUCUGUAGCAAGGUUAACCGUAUAGGGGAGCCGAAGGGAAACCGAGUCUUAACUGGGCGUUAAGUUGCAGGGUAUAGACCCGAAACCCGGUGAUCUAGCCAUGGGCAGGUUGAAGGUUGGGUAACACUAACUGGAGGACCGAACCGACUAAUGUUGAAAAAUUAGCGGAUGACUUGUGGCUGGGGGUGAAAGGCCAAUCAAACCGGGAGAUAGCUGGUUCUCCCCGAAAGCUAUUUAGGUAGCGCCUCGUGAACUCAUCUUCGGGGGUAGAGCACUGUUUCGGCUAGGGGGCCAUCCCGGCUUACCAACCCGAUGCAAACUACGAAUACCGAAGAAUGUUAUCACGGGAGACACACGGCGGGUGCUAACGUCCGUCGUGAAGAGGGAAACAACCCAGACCGCCAGCUAAGGUCCCAAAGUCAUGGUUAAGUGGGAAACGAUGUGGGAAGGCCCAGACAGCCAGGAUGUUGGCUUAGAAGCAGCCAUCAUUUAAAGAAAGCGUAAUAGCUCACUGGUCGAGUCGGCCUGCGCGGAAGAUGUAACGGGGCUAAACCAUGCACCGAAGCUGCGGCAGCGACGCUUAUGCGUUGUUGGGUAGGGGAGCGUUCUGUAAGCCGUUGAAGGUGACCUGUGAGGGUUGCUGGAGGUAUCAGAAGUGCGAAUGCUGACAUAAGUAACGAUAAAGCGGGUGAAAAGCCCGCUCGCCGGAAGACCAAGGGUUCCUGUCCAACGUUAAUCGGGGCAGGGUGAGUCGACCCCUAAGGCGAGGCCGAAAGGCGUAGUCGAUGGGAAACAGGUUAAUAUUCCUGUACUUGGUGUUACUGCGAAGGGGGGACGGAGAAGGCUAUGUUAGCCGGGCGACGGUUGUCCCGGUUUAAGCAUGUAGGCGGAGGUUCCAGGUAAAUCCGGUACCUUUU
rnacentral:rRNA from 1 species